AAUACGUGAGCAACGUGCCCAGAACUCUGGAAUAACUUCGGGAAACCGUGGCUAAUACUGGAUAUGUGCCGGGGAGGCAUCUCCUCCGGUUGGAAAGAUUUAUCGGUUCUGGAUCGGCUCACGGCCUAUCAGCUUGUUGGUGAGGUAAUGGCUCACCAAGGCGACGACGGGUAGCCGGCCUGAGAGGGUGACCGGCCACACUGGGACUGAGACACGGCCCAGACUCCUACGGGAGGCAGCAGUGGGGAAUAUUGCACAAUGGGCGCAAGCCUGAUGCAGCAACGCCGCGUGAGGGAUGACGGCCUUCGGGUUGUAAACCUCUUUUAGUAGGGAAGAAGCGAAAGUGACGGUACCUGCAGAAAAAGCACCGGCUAACUACGUGCCAGCAGCCGCGGUAAUACGUAGGGUGCAAGCGUUGUCCGGAAUUAUUGGGCGUAAAGAGCUCGUAGGCGGUCUGUCGCGUCUGCUGUGAAAGCCCGAGGCUCAACCUCGGGUCUGCAGUGGGUACGGGCAGACUAGAGUGCGGUAGGGGAGAUUGGAAUUCCUGGUGUAGCGGUGGAAUGCGCAGAUAUCAGGAGG
rnacentral:rRNA from 1 species